GUAUACAUAUGUUGUUAAGCUUCUCACAGUAGUGAGUCAAUAUGAUGUUUACACAUGUGUGUCUUAUUUAUUUCACUUAUGUAUGGUCUCAGGUUGCUUUCGUUUACCUAUAAAAGUUUCCUGUUUAUCCUUAUGACUGAGUAAUACUCUGUUGUAUAAAAAUACCACCUUUUUUUAUUCAUCCUUCAGUUGAUGAGCAUUGAGGUUGUUUCCAAGAGCUAGCUACUACAAACUGUGCUGCUGUAAACGUAGCUGCACAUAUAUCGCUGUGGUGUGAAUUAAAAAAUUCUUUUGAUAAGAUACCCAGAAAGCGAAUAGGUGGGUUGAAUGGGACUUUUAGUCUUGUUUUUCUGAGGAAUCUCCACACUGAUUUCCAGUAGUGGUUGUACCAGUCUACACUCCCACCAACAGUAGAGAAGGGUUCUAUUUUCCCCACAGCCCCUCCAGCUUUUGUUAUUGGUUGAUUUUUUGGGGGGGGGUGCUGGGGAUCAAACUCACAACCUCGCAUAUGCCAGGCAGGCGCUUAUGAUGCUGAGCUAAAUCCCCAGCAUGACUUCUUGAUAAUAGCCAUUCUUAGCAGCUGGACAUGGUGACAGGCCUGUAAUCCCAGCACUUGGGAGGCUGAAGUAGGAGGAUUGUUGCCAGUUCAAGACCACCCUGGGCUACAAAGUGAGCUCAGGCCAACCUGAACUGCAUAGUGAAACCUUGUCUCAAAAAGACCAAAAAAUAGGGGCUGGGGAUUUAGCUCAGCAGCAUAAGCACCUGCCUUGCAAGCGGGUGGUCAUGAGUUUGAUCCCCGGUACCAAUAAAAAGAAAAAAAAAUGUGCAGAAAGACCAAAAAAUAAAUAAAUAGAUAAAAGAUAAUAGCCAUUUUUUUCCAGGGUGAGGUGGAAUCUCAGUGUUUUAAUUUGCAUCUUUUGAGUGAUCAAUGAUGUUGAACAUUUUUUCACAUAUUUAUUUGCUGAUUAUAUUUCUUCAUCUGAGAAGUGUGUAGUCAUCUCAGAUGGGCAUCUCUUAUUAACAGGCCUUCCUUUAGACUCUGGGAAUGCAGCAUUGAACACAAAAGUCCUUAAGUGUUUGGCUUCUCCUUUUAGGCUCUAGAGUUUUUAUUCUAAUAGAAAAGUCAGAUAGUGCCGGAAAUAUGUAUAUAACAUUCCUGAGAUAAUCAUUAUGGAAGGAAACUAAGCAAGGUGGGGGUGAAAGUACAUAGAAAAUUCUAGAGAUGGAGCACAAUAUGAGUUUUAUGUCAAGAACCAGGAAAAGCCUCCUUGAUAAGGUAACAAAGCAGAGUAACGAGAGAGCCAGCCAUGCCUGGGAGAAGAGCCUUCGAGGCCAAGAGCAGCAGGUUUCAGCAGGGCUUGGCAGUAGCCGAGGGGCUGGUGAGACAGGUGAGGACUGAAGGGGGAGACAGAGGUGCAAGAUGCAAUGAAUUGAGUGCAUUAAACCAAAGUUUGGAAAAUUAUUGUCAAACUUUACAAUGAAAAAGUACUACUCUGAGCCAAGCAUGGUGUGUGUUGUAGUCAGAGUUUGCAAGGGAAUAGAUUUAGUACACGACACAUGAUUUAUAGGAUUUUAUAACAUUCACCCAAAAAGUGAAAUGCAGAAGAGUGCCCGAGUUCUGUCUACUCACUAAAGACCCGAGAAUCCAGAUGAGAGCCUCAAUCCCACGACAAUGUCCUGCACGAGUUCUCCUGAAACUUAGGAGCAGCCGUUCUGGUGAACCUUGGUGUCUGAUUUAGCUCAGCGGCACAAGUGCCCACCUGGCAAGUCUGAAGUUGUGAGGUUGAUCACCAGUACAAAAACAUCUCUCUUCCUCCCAGAAUCACAUUUUGCGGGUUCUGGAAAUUGAUUUAAUUUGAGGGCUUACAUUUGCAUUGUCCACUGAGCUUCUCCCAGCCCAGCCACAGUUAAAGUAAAAUAAAAUUGUGGUUAGAAAGUCACAUAGAUCAGCCACUCCUCUGUCCAUCCCUUCCCAUUCCUCUUUUACAGAGAUGAAGAAAAGUCAUGUUUUGUGCUUUUAGUUCAUUUGGUAAUUACCUCCAUGUCUCCAUGUUACAUGCAUUUGUUGAUUUUUUUCAUUUUAGGUAUUUUUUUCUAAGGAUAAUAUGGUACAUCAAUAUCUUAAAUAUCUUAUGGUACUUCAAAUUUAAUUUACUAACUUUACACCAUUUUAUUUCCUCCUCCCUUCUUCUGCCAUUGUGGUUAAAACUCAAUGCAGUAUGUUCCUCUAUGUAAAAUCUAUAUUUGUAAAUUUAAGUAACUGUUAAACAUCUUGUUCUGUCAAACUCCAGACAGUGUUCUUGAUCCCCCGCACUGUAAGUUCAGGGCUUUAUUUCAGUGAUUCUGGCCUGUUCUCUACAAUUCCUUCCUUCUCUGUAUCCUUAUUAAAAGAGGGUCCUGUGGCUGGGGAUUUAGCUCAGAGGCAUAAGUGGCUGCCUUGCAAGUGUGCAGUCAUGAGUUCAAUCCCCGGUACCAAAAAAAAAAGCGGGUCUCACCUGUCCACCUGGAUUCCCAUGAGUGUCUAUGUAAUUGAAAGAAGGGCUGUCCCUACCCCUGCCUCUCUUCAGGUACAGAUGGAAUCUCCCCCAAGGAAGCCUUUUGGAACCUCACUCAGAACUGAGAUUUGUCUACAAUCCUGUGAAGGAAACGAUAACCUAAGUGUCCCUGAAUGCUAAACCCAAAGUACCUUUGCCCUUUAACUAGAGGGGAAAACAGUCAACCUUUCCCUAAAACAAGCACUGGUUGUUUACUCUUCCCAUGCCCUUUCAGACGAAAGGCUGUAAAACUGCUUUGGUAAUAUAAAACUACUAGAAUGUUUGACAGAAUUAGUGUCAAUGCAGUGAAUUUUCAGGAUCAUGUAGGUGAAAUUUAUUAGUUCUCCUUGAAUUUCAUGUUGAUAAGUAAGCUGCUCAUUCAUCUGGAGAGGAACUGUGUGUAUCUGCUGUCUGAGGAGCCACUGCAGGAGGUAAGGAACUGGGUAGAGAAACACCCCUGCCCCCUAGUGGGGACUCGGGUUGGAACAUCGCACUCAAAGGGGAGAAGACAUGAAAGGCAUUGGAUUGGUACAAAGCACCUCUAGCAGACGUCCUGUACCUGGAGACUUCCCUUCCUGCCUCCUGUGGGAGAAUCAGAAGAACUAAAAGAACAGUGGCCAGGGAGAUGCUGUAGGUGACAUCACCAAGCCUCCACAUGAGAUGGCGGCUGCAAAGAAAGUGCUACAGAUGAGUAAAGUGACGGCCAGCAGUGGGGCUGCAGCAAAGACCCAGGGACAAGGCCAGGAGGUUCAAUAAUGACAAAGUCACGAUGGCUCGGGGUCACUGCACAGCUGCUGGCUGGGAGACUGGUAUGGGGCUCGGUGCAGUUUGACCCAGGGUAAAUUAACCAGGACACUCAGAACGGCAACUUAGAAGUGAUAAUACUUACAGAGCACACACAGUUGUGCAUAGGCAUAGGAUGGGGCUCAUUCCAGGGCACCUGUGGGUACUGCAGCUUAAAUGUGCUCAAAUCUCUUAUAUAAGAUGGAACAGUAUUUGCAGAUGACCUAUGCACAUCCUCCUAAGUAUUUUAAAUCAUCUCUAGAUCACUUACUCUGUAAGUAGUUGGUUUACUGUAUUGUUUAAGGAAUAAAAACAAGAAUAAAAAUCUUAUAGUAUGUGCUUAGUACAAAUAAAAAUUUUACAGAUAUUUUCUGUGAUUGGUUGAUUUCAUGGAUGCAAAAGCCCCAGAGCACAGGAUAGGUUGUCUCAGGUCCUGGUGGUGCUUGUAUGUUAUCUCAUUCUUGGUCAUUUAACCAGGUGAUGAAGUAGAGCCUAAAUAUCCCAAAGUCACAGAGCUAAUGGGACUUAGAACCAAGAUUCCAACACAAAGCAAAGCACUGUGACCCCUGUAGCCAUUCUCUCCAAUACUAUGUUUUCCUGUUUCCUUCGGGGAGGAAGGAGCAGGGGUUCAAGCACUCUAACCCUACUGAGAUGUGUAUGGAAAGAUGGCUGUUUUUUUUUUUUUUUUGGUCUUUUUCCUUUUUAUCGGUACCAAGGUUCGAACCCACGACUGCCUGCUUGCAAGGCAGGUGCUUAUGCCGCUAAGCUAAACCCCCAGCCCCUGAAGGAUGGCUGAUAAUCGGGACUCUAGCCCCAGAUCUGCUACCUACAUGAAGUAGGAUAUUUAGCCUCUCACGAGCUGGCUUCCUCAGUUAUCCAAUGGGGAAACGGUGGCUGUCUCAUAAGUUGCCAUGGAGAUUCACUGAGAUGAUGUGAGCUUCUGCACGUGGUAAAUGAGGUAGAUGACUGACAGAGAUGGUCUCUGGCUGUGGGAAGCCGCCUAUGAAUGGCGCCCAUUUCCUGCUUCCGGGUUCUUCCCGGCCUGAACAAGCCCGCCAAAUUGUCAUAUCUGCCCAGUUACCCAUGACGCUAGCCUAUCAGCUUGUUAGGCGCGCUUCUCUGUGAUUGGAUACUGCUUCCCCUUAUAAGAGGUUGUUCCUGCCCCCAACGGCGGAAGAGGAACCAACGUUGAGGGUGGCGGACCUUGUCAGGUCCGGUUCGCUGUACAUAAUAAAGUUUGAGAGCUGAUCCUGCUCGAGUUUGGUCUCCUGUCUCCCGCGGCUCCGGUCAUCUGGUGGCCCCCGUACGGGGAAAAAGGUAAAAGACUCAGCGACGUGCCUCUUCGGCCGGGAGGUGCGAUUGCUGUCGCCUGCGGUACGACGGAGGACCUGGCUCAAUAACAACGGAAGGCCGCGAGCGCCUCUUCUCUUCACCCUGAUCAGCUACGUGAGAUACAGCGGUUCCCGGGACAGGUGAGUACUGGGUCACCUGGGUUGGGUGGACGCACCUAACAGAUUUUGAGCGCCACACAAGUGGACGCCGGGUUUUUUUUUUCUUUUCUUUUCCCUUUGCAUCUGUUUUGCUUUCGCUUCGCUAAUACAGCCCGACAGGCUUUUGAUAGAGCUCGAUCGGAAUGCUCAGAGGAGCCCGGAGCCACUGCCGAUUGUGGGUCUCCGGAGGACCCUCAGGGCUCUAAUUCUGAUUCGGAUUCGGAAGGCUCAGAAGAGGAGGUCGUCUUUGCUAAGCAUGACCCUCCUACACCGUUAAAAGAGGAACUUAGGGCUCGGGAAGAUAAAAAGGGGAACCAAACACCACCCUGCCCGAGCUACUCCGCCUUACGGGAGGAGCUUAAGCCCUUCCGCUCCUUGGCAAGUUUGCGACCCAUGGUCGCUCCCUUCAGGGCGCCAGGCCCCACUGCACCGCCGUGGCCGGAAGAGGAGUUGCUCCCUGGGCUGCCACCACAACCUAUGGCACCGCCCUGGUUAAAGGGAGAGCUACUUCCUGGGUUGCCUUCUGUGCCCCCAUCUGGGGAGGGAGGAGGACGUUCCUUCCACCAGAGGGUAUGGUCGCGGCUUCCCUUUGAGUGUUCCGGUCUCCAUGCAUUCCCGGUACAAGUAGGAGGCAGGGGAGGAGGAGGAUAUUAUGAGCCCUUAGAAAUUAAACAACUUAAAACUAUCAAGGACGCAGUUUCAGCUUAUGGGCCCAAUGUGCCAUUUACCAUGGCGCUUUUAGAGGCAUUGGCAGGUCUGCUUUUAACUCCUGGAGAUUGGACCCAACUGGCACGCGCCUGCCUCUCCCCCGGACAAUAUUUAGAUUGGAAGUCCUGGAAUGAGGAAUUCUGUGUAGAGCAGGCGGCAGCCAACAGGGAAAAUAACCAGAGAGAGUGGAACAGGGAUAUGCUAUUAGGGCGAGGAGCCUUUGAGGAAGAUCAAACUCAAUACCCUCGCCAGGUUUAUGAACAAAUUAGCCGCUGUGGCCUCCAGGCCUGGAGACGGCUGGCUGGAAAGGGAGAACAUACGGGUCACCUUACAAAAAUUAUACAAGGGCAGGGAGAGCCAUUUUCAGACUUUGUGGCCCGCAUGCUUGAGGCCGCUAACAGGAUUUUUCCAGAUGCUGAGGCGGCUCACCCUCUCAUAAAACAAUUGAUUUUUGAACAGUGCACUAAGGAGUGCCGUGAUGUCCUAACAAAAAUAGGUCCUUAGAAGAGUGGACACGCCUGUGCCGUGAAUUGGGUGGCCACGGCCUAACGCCCAAAGGAAGAAUAUCAUUGGCACUCUUUACCAUAAAUUUUUAAAAUCUUAAUCACAAUAAUCAUUCCCCUGCCAUGGAGCACAAUAACCCGUCCCCGGCCGACAAAGGGCUGGUGAGAUGGAAAGAUGUCCUUACAGGACAAUGGAUGGGCCCGGAUCCAGUGAUUAGCUGGACCCGAGGUGCGGUUUGUGUCUUCCCACAGGAACCAGGCUGCGAACCGCUGUGGGUCCCGGAAAGAUUGACGCGAGCAGUAAACUCCCCACCAGUUCCUGAUAAAGCACAGGAGGAUAAGCCCGCGGACACAAGUCAACUCGACCGACGCUCAGCGCCCGAAAAUGUCUGGUUUGGAGCUUUUUCUAUUCUGUGGGUUCCUAUUAAUCACCCCUGUGAUAUGCUCAGAUUCCACAGAACCACCACAAUAUCUUUGGGGUCCUUGGCACCACCCGCCCACAUUGGCACCUUUUUCGGCGGCCUCGCCCGCCUCACCCAGGGUUUACACCAUCAAUCAAACAGUCCUUGAUUAUGCUAAUUGCCAUGGCUAUCCUAGUAGGGCUUGUGGUUAUUAAAUGCUUGUUAGAUCGCCUCAUACAAACUCAGCAGCAGGUUAAGAUCACAGCUAUGGCAGCCAUGCAAAUGGCAGCAGGUGGCCCAUCAGGCCAGCAGGCCGCCGCAUAUCUCCUUCACAUUGCAGAACAUCAGCUAUAAGAGCUGAGUGGGCAAGCCAAUGACAGGCUCCACUCAGAUAUACAUGGCCUAUAAGGCCAGGGGUCCCUCCCGGAGUCAAAUUAUUGGCAUUGAGAUGCGAGACCAAGGGUACUGCAGUGCCAUCCACCCCAAAGGUUGGGGGGAAGGCAGGAAUGAAUGUCUAUAUGCAUCCAGGUUCGGUUCACAAAAGCCUGGCCCUGCGAAAAAAUGAACCACUCACCUUGAGCAUGGUCCUGGCGCAAGGAUAUGCACAAAACAGGGUGAUGCACAGCAGGGUAUAGACCUCUACAUUCUCUCAUGCCUCGGCCUACAAGGUAGGCCCACUCCUAGGUGUCUAACAGCAACAAGGUCAUAGACACCUUGGAGGGACCCACAGACCAUCCUAUUUUAAUAAAUAAAAAAGGGGGAGUUGUGGGAAGCCGCCUAUGAAUGGCGCCCAUUUCCUGCUUCCGGGUUCUUCCCGGCCUGAACAAGCCCGCCAAAUUGUCAUAUCUGCCCAGUUACCCGUGACGCUAGCCUAUCAGCUUGUUAGGCGCGCUUCUCUGUGAUUGGAUACUGCUUCCCCUUAUAAGAGGUUGUUCCUGCCCCCAACGGCGGAAGAGGAACCAACGUUGAGGGUGGCGGACCUUGUCAGGUCCGGUUCGCUGUACAUAAUAAAGUUUGAGAGCUGAUCCUGCUCGAGUUUGGUCUCCUGUCUCCCGCGGCUCCGGUCAUCUGGCUGUUCUUAUCAUUGUUCUUGUUUUCAUGGAGCUUGAAGUGAUGGAGCCCAAGCUGGAGUGGAUAAGGAUUUCACCCAAGGCCUCACUCAUGGUCCCUUGUGCUGGCUCAGAGGUGCAGAGAUAGGAGCUUUUUGUGUGCCCUGCCUUCUCAGGAAUCAUGUCUGGAUCUUUGGCCAUCAUGAGAGGACAUAGUCACAGAUAUACCGGAGGAUCUCAGAAAAAUCUGUUGAAUGAAUGCAUGCAUAAAUAAUUCUGGGGAUGGAAUCUAGGACCUUGGACAUGCUAAGCAAGUGAUUUAUUGCUGCUACCUCUUCAGCCCAGUUUUUCUUAUUCCUAGCUGUAAUCUAGGCUGACUUCAGUGCCUUGCACAUGCUGAUCGAUGGACUGCUUGUGCGUGUGACAGAGGAAGGGAGGGAGCCAGAGGGGAGGAAAAGGAGGUCUUGUCAUGCGGUUCAUCUGGCCUUGAAAUCACUAGCCAGGCUGGCCUCAACUUGCUGUGAUCUUCUCAAGUGCUGGAAUUGUAGCCACCACACCCAGCCUUGCAUUUUAUUUAGAAAAGUAACAUACAGCAUGUUAACUUUCGGUGACUUAGAUGAAAUGCUUAAAUAAAUUAACUUAAAAGAAAAAAA